UGAAUACGAGACGCUAAGGCGUCGAAGUAGUGUAUGUCAUACUUCCAAGAAAAGCUUGCACUGUCAUAAGUAAAAAAUGCCUGUACCAUAACCGACACAGGUGGGUAGGUAGAGUAUACUAAGGGGCGCGAGAUAACUCUCUCUAAGGAACUCGGCAAAAUAACUCCGUAACUUCGGGAGAAGGAGUACCUUAUUCUAUAAGGUUGCAAUAACAAGAUCCAAGCAACUGUUUAUCAAAAACACAGGUCUCCGCUAAGUCGUAAGACGAUGUAUGGGGGCUGACGCCUGCCCAGUGCCAGAAGGUUAAAGAAGUCGGUUAGCAUUAGCGAAGCUGGUAACUGAAGCCCUGGUGAACGGCGGCCGUAACUAUAACGGUCCUAAGGUAGCGAAAUUCCUUGUCGGGUAAGUUCCGACCCGCACGAAAGGCGUAAUGAUUUGGAUACUGUCUCGGAGAGGGGCUCGGUGAAAUAGACUUGUCUGUGAAGAUGCGGACUACCUGCACCAGGACAGAAAGACCCUAUGAAGCUUUACUGUAACUUGAAAUUGAAAUUGGACUUUAUUCGCGCAGUAUAGGUGGGAGGUGUUGAUUAUAAUCUUGCGGGAUUAUUGGAGCCAUCAGUGAGAUACCACUCUUGUAAUGUUAGAUUUCUAACUUUGAAUCAUUAUCUGGUCAAAGGACAGUUUCAGGCGGGCAGUUUGACUGGGGCGGUCGCCUCCCAAACGGUAACGGAGGCGUACAAAGGUUUCCUCUGAACGGGUAGAAAUCGUAUCUAGAGUGUAAAGGCAUAAGGAAGCUUGACUGUGAGACCUACAAGUCGAACAGGGACGAAAGUCGGUCUUAGUGAUCUGACGGUACUGAGUGGAAAGGCCGUCACUCAACGGAUAAAAGUUACUCUAAGGAUAACAGGCUGAUCUCCCCCAAGAGUUCACAUCGACGGGGAGGUUUGGCACCUUGACGUCGGCUCAUCGCAUCCUGGGGCGGUAGUACGUCCCAAGGGUUGGGCUGUUCGCCCAUGAAAGCGGUACGCGAGCUGGGUUCAGAACGUCGUGAGACAGUUCGGUCCAUAUCCGGUGUAGGCGUUAGAAUAUUGAGAGGAGCCUUCUUUAGUACGAGAGGACCGAGAAGGACAUACCUCUGGUGUACCAGUUAUCGUGCCAACGGUAAACGCUGGGUAGCUAUGUAUGGAGUGGAUAACCGCUGAAAGCAUCUAAGUGGGAAGCCCACCUCAAGAUAAG
rnacentral:rRNA from 1 species